rnacentral:rRNA from 1 species
GAUGAACGCUAGCGGCAGGCCUAAUACAUGCAAGUCGAACGGUAACAUGAGUAGCAAUACUUGAUGACGAGUGGCGCACGGGUGCGUAACGCGUAUGCAAUCUACCUUUAACUGGUGCAUAGCCCGAAGCAAUUCGGAUUAAUACACCAUAGUAUAUUGAGGAGGCAUCUCCUUAAUAUUAAAACUCCGGUGGUUAAAGAUGAGCAUGCGUGACAUUAGCUAGUUGGUGAGGUAACGGCUCACCAAGGCAACGAUGUCUAGGGGAUCUGAGAGGAUUAACCCCCACACUGGUACUGAGACAGGGACCAGACUCCUACGGGAGGCAGCAGUAAGGAAUAUUGGACAAUGGUCGCAAGACUGAUCCAGCCAUGCCGCGUGAAGGAUGACGGCCCUAUGGGUUGUAAACUUCUUUUGUACGGGAAAAAACCCUUCUACGUGUAGAGGGCUGAUUGUACCGUAAGAAUAAGGAUCGGCUAACUCCGUGCCAGCAGCCGCAGUAA